GAUGAACGCUGGCGGCGUGCUUAACACAUGCAAGUUGAACGAAGCACUUUAUUUGAUUUCCUUCGGGACUGAUUAUUUUGUGACUGAGUGGCGGACGGGUGAGUAACGCGUGGGUAACCUGCCUUGUACAGGGGGAUAACAGUUGGAAACGGCUGCUAAUACCGCAUAAGCGCACGGCAUCGCAUGAUGCAGUGUGAAAAACUCCGGUGGUAUAAGAUGGACCCGCGUUGGAUUAGCUAGUUGGUGAGGUAACGGCCCACCAAGGCGACGAUCCAUAGCCGACCUGAGAGGGUGACCGGCCACAUUGGGACUGAGACACGGCCCAAACUCCUACGGGAGGCAGCAGUGGGGAAUAUUGCACAAUGGGCGAAAGCCUGAUGCAGCGACGCCGCGUGAGCGAAGAAGUAUUUCGGUAUGUAAAGCUCUAUCAGCAGGGAAGAUAAUGACGGU
rnacentral:rRNA from 1 species